rnacentral:rRNA from 1 species
AGUGAACGCUGGCGGUAGGCCUAACACAUGCAAGUCGAACGGCAGCACAGUAAGAGCUUGCUCUUACGGGUGGCGAGUGGCGGACGGGUGAGGAAUACAUCGGAAUCUACUUUUUCGUGGGGGAUAACGUAGGGAAACUUACGCUAAUACCGCAUACGACCUACGGGUGAAAGCAGGGGAUCUUCGGACCUUGCGCGAUUGAAUGAGCCGAUGUCGGAUUAGCUAGUUGGCGGGGUAAAGGCCCACCAAGGCGACGAUCCGUAGCUGGUCUGAGAGGAUGAUAGGCACAACUGAACUGAGACACGGUCCAGACUCCUACGGGAGGCAGCAGUGGGGAAUAUUGGACAAUGGGCGCAAGCCUGAUCCAGCCAUACCGCGUGGGUGAAGAAGGCCUUCGGGUUGUAAAGCCCUUUUGUUGGGAAAGAAAAGCAGCAGGUUAAUACCCCGCUGUUCUGACGGUACCCAAAGAAUAAGCACCGGCUAACUUCGUG